UACGUAGGGGGCAAGCGUUGUCCGGAUUUAUUGGGCGUAAAGGGCUCGUAGGCGGUUUGUCGCGUCGGGAGUGAAAUCCACUGGCUUAACUGGUGGCUUGCUUUCGAUACGGGCAGACUGGAGGUAUGCAGGGGAGAACGGAAUUCCUGGUGUAGCGGUGAAAUGCGUAGAUAUCAGGAGGAACACCGGUGGUGUAGACGGCUCUCUGGACCGUAACUGACGCUGAGGCACGAAAGCGUGGGUAGCAAACAGG
rnacentral:rRNA from 1 species